rnacentral:rRNA from 1 species
UAUUGGUAAUGUGCGAAAGCGCGAACCAGCAACGCCGCGUGCACGAUGAAGGCCUUCGGGUCGUAAAGUGCUUUUAGAGAGGCUGAGGAAGGACAGUACUUUCUGAAUAAGCCUCGGCUAACUACGUGCCAGCAGCCGCGGUAAAACGUAGGAGGCAAGCGUUAUCCGGAUUUACUGGGCGUCAAGCGCAUGCAGGUGGUUUUGUAAGUUGGAUGUGAAAGCUCCUGGCUUAACUGGGAGAGGUCGUUCAAAACUACAAGACGUGAGAUUGGGAGAGGAAAAUGGAAUUCCGGGUGUAGUGGUGAAAUGCGUAGAUAUCCGGAGGAACACCAGUGCCGAAUGCGGUUUUCUGGACCAAUUCUGACAC